rnacentral:tRNA from 1 species
GCCGGGGUCGCCUAGUGGUACGGUCUUCUUGUUAAACACGAGACGGCACUAAAGGGCGGCAGCCCGCUAAGCUGUUUGGCUAGAAAUGGCCUUCGCGAGUUCGAAUCUCGCCCCCGGCG